UGGGGAAUCUUGGACAAUGGGGGCAACCCUGAUCCAGCCAUGCCGCGUGAGUGAUGAAGGCCUUAGGGUCGUAAAGCUCUUUCGCCUGUGAAGAUAAUGACGGUAGCAGGUAAAGAAACCCCGGCUAACUCCGUGCCAGCAGCCGCGGUAAUACGGAGGGGGUUAGCGUUGUUCGGAAUUACUGGGCGUAAAGCGCACGUAGGCGGACCAGAAAGUUGGGGGUGAAAUCCCGGGGGCUCAACCCCGGAACUGCCUCCAAAACUAUUGGUCUAGAGUUCGAGAGAGGUGAGUGGAAUUCCAAGUGUAGAGGUGAAAUUCGUAGAUAUUUGGAGGAACACCAGUGGCGAAGGCGGCUCACUGGCUCGAUACUGACGCUGAGGUGCGAAAGUGUGGGGAGCAAACAGGAUUAGAUACCCUGGUAGUCCACACCGUAAAACGAUGAAUGCCAGUCGUCGGGUAGCAUGCUAUUUGGUGACACACCUAACGGAUUAAGCAUUCCGCCUGGGGAGUACGGUCGCAAGGUUAAAACUCAAAUGAAUUG
rnacentral:rRNA from 1 species